CACGUAGGGGGCAAGCGUUGGUCCGGAUUUAUUGGGCGUAAAGAGCUCGUAGGCGGUUCGGUAAGUCGGGUGUGAAACCUCCAGGCUCAACCUGGAGACGCCACCUGAUACUGCUGUGACUCGAGUCCGGUAGGGGAGCGGUGGAAUUCCUGGUGUAACGGUGAAAUGCGCAGAUAUCAGGAGGAACACCAGCGGCGAAGGCGGCGCUCUGGGCCGGAACUGACGCUGAGGAGCGAAAGCGUGGGUAGCAAACAGG
rnacentral:rRNA from 1 species